rnacentral:rRNA from 1 species
AUACGGAGGGUGCAAGCGUUAUCCGGAAUUAUUGGGUUUAAAGGGUCCGUAGGCGGCUAGAUAAGUCAGUGGUGAAAUUCUCUCGCUCAACGAGGGACCUGCCAUUGAUACUGUCUUGGCUAGAGUUACAGUGAGGUGAGUGGAAUGUGUAGUGUAGCGGUGAAAUGCAUAGAUAUUACACAGAACACCGAUUGCGAAGGCAGCUCACUAACUGUAUACUGACGCUGAUGGACGAAAGCGUGGGGAGCAAACAGGAGUAGAUACCCUAGUAGUCC